AGGUUGCGGCAAUAACAGGUCUGUGAUGCCCUCAGAUGUCCCGGGCUGCACACGUGCUACAAUGAGUGGCGCAAUGUGCUAAUGUUUAAGGGAUAAGAGUGUGGUCAGUANAACGUCGGGAUUUCCCCUGACGUCUCCCCCGCACGAUUAUCAGCCUUCCCUUAACAGGGCGGGCAACCUUUUCAAAAUACUGGUUUGAUGUUAAAGUAUUGAGUCGUUUUUUUUGGAUGGUGGUUUGUUAACCAAUACCAUCCGGCAACUGCUCGCGAGUUUGUGGUUCUGGCGACUCAUGGUGGGGACCGACGUUUGUAAUUUUUUGUCGCGUGUUAACUANGAAUGCCUUGUACUGUCGAUUCACUAAGUUACUGGGAAUACGUCCCUGCCCUUUGUACACACCGCCCGUCGCUCUUAC
rnacentral:rRNA from 1 species